CAAUAGCGUAUAUUAAAGUUGUUGCAGUUAAAAAGCUCGUAGUUGGAUUUCUGGUUUGAUGCCCUGGCCCGCUGCUAUUUUAGUAGUGUGUGCCGGUUGUGCGUCUGCCAUCCUUCUAGGGAACGUUCCUUCUCUUCACUGAGCCGGGUUCGUGAUCUAGAUCGUUUACUUUGAGGAAAUUAGAGUGUUUCAAGCAGGCAUACGCCUUGAAUACAUUAGCAUGGAAUAAUAAGAUAGGACCUCGGUUCUAUUUUGUUGGUUUCUAGAGCUGAGGUAAUGAUUAAUAGGGAUAGUUGGGGCAUUCGUAUUUAACUGUCAGAGGUGAAAUUCUUGGAUUCGGUCAAGACUAACUUAUGCGAAAGCAUUCACCAAGGAUGUCUU
rnacentral:rRNA from 1 species